rnacentral:rRNA from 14 species
GAAUACAUAGGUGUAUGGAGCGAACUCGGGGAACUGAAACAUCUAAGUACCCGAAGGAAAAGAAAUCAACCGAGAUUCCGCAAGUAGUGGCGAGCGAACGCGGAGUAGCCCUUAAGUAUGUGAAACCUAGCAGAACAGUCUGGAAAGGCUGGCCAUAGUGGGUGAUAGCCCCGUAUGCGAAAGGCCA